rnacentral:lncRNA from 1 species
GCAGGCGCUGGGUCUGCAGAUGGCGUCCAGGUACACAGUGGCGAGUGUGAUUCCGCAGUCUUGGGCUGUUUGGCCAAGCGCCCGCCGGACAUGGUACGCCGAAGGGUCAUCGGCGUGGAGUCCUCGCUUUCAGCGUCCGCGGCUGGGAAAUCGGCCAUCGCUACGGCGGGAACUGGGACUCGGGCUGCGUCCCGGCCCUUCCACAUCGGUCCACCGCACUCGUGGGCGCCCGCAUUGGUGCUGACAUAAUUUCCUGACCUCUGACCCGUAUUGUCUCGCGAUUAAAGGUCCAGAUUUGGAACAAAUCUCUCUAGAGAUUGAACAGAGCUGCGCCUGGAUCCCUCAGCAGUGAGGAGACCUGAAGACCAGAGGAAACACAGCAAGUAGGCCCUUUAAACCACUCACCUGUGUUGUCUUCCAAUUUAUUCUGUUUUAUUUUGUUUCCAUCAUUUUAAGGGGUUAAAAUCAUCUUGUUCAGACCUCAGCAUAUAAAAUGACCCAUCUGUAGACCUCAGGCUCCAACCAUACCCCAAGAGUUGUCUGGUUUUGUUUAAAUUACUGCCAGGUUUCAACUGCAGAUAUCCCUGGAAGGAAUAUUCCAGAUUCCCUGAGUAGUUUCCAGGUUAAAGUCUUAUAGGCUUCUUCUGUUU